UUCUUACACCGAAUGCUUGCAUUCACCGUAAGAAGUUGAGUGGCGGACGGGUGAGUAACACGUGGGUAACCUGCCUAAAAGAAGGGGAUAACACUUGGAAACAGGUGCUAAUACCGUAUAUCUCUAAGGAUCGCAUGAUUCUUAGAUGAAAGAUGGUUCUGCUAUCGCUUUUAGAUGGACCCGCGGCGUAUUAACUAGUUGGUGGGGUAACGGCCUACCAAGGUGAUGAUACGUAGCCGAACUGAGAGGUUGAUCGGCCACAUUGGGACUGAGACACGGCCCAAACUCCUACGGGAGGCAGCAGUAGGGAAUCUUCCACAAUGGACGCAAGUCUGAUGGAGCAACGCCGCGUGAGUGAAGAAGGUCUUCGGAUCGUAAAACUCUGUUGUUAGAGAAGAACACGAGUGAGAGUAACUGUUCAUUCGAUGACGGUAUCUAACCAGCAAGUCACGGCUAACUACGUGCCAGCAGCCGCGGUAAUACGUAGGUGGCAAGCGUUGUCCGGAUUUAUUGGGCGUAAAGGGAACGCAGGCGGUCUUUUAAGUCUGAUGUGAAAGCCUUCGGCUUAACCGGAGUAGUGCAUUGGAAACUGGAAGACUUGAGUGCAGAAGAGGAGAGUGGAACUCCAUGUGUAGCGGUGAAAUGCGUAGAUAUAUGGAAGAACACCAGUGGCGAAAGCGGCUCU
rnacentral:rRNA from 1 species